GAGCAGACUCGCGCGGACCCUCUGUCUCUCUCACAAGGGCCCGAUGUCCACGCAGAGGAGGAGCCGUGUGGGACAAUUGGUUGGGACCUUUAAGUGGAGGACAUUUCUCCCCAGAGUCCGCUUUGCCUACGGAAGAGAUCCCGUCAGCAUGGCGUCGGGCUUCAUCGGAGCGCGAGAGGGGGUCUGUUUCUGUCUUUGGUUAUCUAGCUGUAUGAGUUUUAAAUGCCUGUCAUAAAGCUAGAUAACCGAAAGUAGAAAUGACUCCCGGAACGUUGUGUUCAUCCCCGAAAGACGCGGGACUCCUCGAGCUUCCAACUGGGAAAAAGGCUUCCAAUAUACGACAUUGAAUGAUCGUGGAUCCCUGAAAAGAGGCUCGAGCCAUCGUUGAAAGAAAAGGAAGCGAGAGCUGAGGGGAAAACGGUCGGUCCGGAAUUGCUACCUCCUCCUCCUCCUCCACCCCCAUUAGUCGUCCUUUUUGCCCAAGAGCCUCUAAUGCCAUCUGUGCUGCCAACGGGGGUUGGAGGGGAGGGGGCGGAUUCUGCCCGUGCCAGGACGCGGACAAAGACCCUUCCGGAUCCCCGGAGCACGGGCACGCUCAGAGGAGCCAUCUUGGGGAGAUGUUGCCGCGACACCUAAAAUGGCAGGCUGGCACACCGAGGACGGGGAACAGGAUCGGCCUCUCUGCGCUCUGAAGGAACCUGCUUGGGCGCGAGGACAUGGACCAAACUCAACGAAAUACUGUCUUCAGAAAGUCUCAACAGAGAUCAUCAGUCACCUAAACGAGGAGAGCAGCCCUGUGUGGCAAAGGACAUGUAGAAAGAAAAGAGCUACUGUACAAGCUGGAAAUGUGCCUGUUAUCCAUGUUCAUGAUAUUGUAUUAAUGUGUGUGAUACAUAUACAUUAUUUUAAAAAUUGCAGAAAACUUGUUCUCACCGAUAUAUCUAAAGUGCAUCUACAUGUUUUAAUUAAUAAUUUAUGAAACUGCUGUUCUCAUAUGUCUGAAUUGAAAUAGGAAUUUAUAAGACUGGAGUGCAUUACUGAAAAAGCUGAUUGUAUUUCUUCUUUGAAUUAAAUCGAUAAUGAAAAUAUUUUCA